CACGGUCUUAACAGUGAAUUCUCCUUUCAUAAUUGUUGUGACAAAUGAAAUUGUUUCAAUAAUUGUUGUGAAAAAAGUGAUAUUGAUUUUGUCAUUAGGUGGUAGUGACAAAAUUCGCAAUAAUUAAUUAUUUGCCAAUCCAAUAUUUCCCACAGACGCAUAAACAUCCUGUUGAUAAUGUUGAAUAAAAAAUGACAGAAGCAAUGAGCAUCGUGUUGUUCGAUAAUAAUUAUCUAGAUUUUCUAUUAAACGAAUUUCAAGCGAUUCACGAUCGAUAUUAGGACAAAGUAAUUCGACCAACUUGGACGCUGAUAAGAUUCGAGGAACGCCAGGCACGCUAGAAAGCGAGUGUGUCGCGAUCGUGACGAUGACGGUGGAGAAUCACCAGGUUAGAGCUUCGAAACCGGAUCAUUAUCUUCCACUGAUGGCAUGCUCACUUUCUCAUGCAUCCUCGAGUGGGAUUAAUUAACAUCUCAGAUAAACAUCUGAAAGAGAAACCGAGGUCAGUUCGAGCUGUCUUUCGAUUUUCGAAACGUCUAUUUCCAAUAUGAUUCUCGUUCUAUGCGUCAAAUACACGCGUGAUCGCCGCACAUUGCGAAAAUAAACUCUCGAUAUCGUGGAAUCGUAUCGUUGCUCGAUCGAUUAUCCAAUUCCACUCGAUGUCGAAAACAACAUACGAUAGAAUAAUGUUCGAACAAUACUCGCUGAUCGAAAUUUAUCAGAAUUCUGUCUAUAUCUAUUCUUUGUGCUCGAGGAACAAUGAAGUGGCGAUAAUGGACACCGAUUAUAGAGAUUCCAAAUUCAUUGAUAAAGGAAUACUGGGGCAAAGAUGAUAAAGAAUAGUUAUAAGAUAUAGUAUGCUCUUAAAAUUCAUCGUACUUACGAUAUAACACGUCAUGAAAUUCCAAAUUUAAAAUAUUCCUUCGGAAAUGUCAGGUUUAAACACAACCCUCUCCAAUAUCCGUACGAUUAAAGAUAACAAGUAUAUGUCGGUUAAAAAAUAUUUAGAAAUAUAUGAAUGGAUUAAUGUCUUCCAAGAAGACGAUAUUAUACUCAGGGCCGGAGCAAAGCAGAAUGACGAUACCUUUAACAGAUGCAAGACAUUUUUGCAGUAGCGAUGAAAAUCAUGAAAAUUCAGUGUCGUCAUAUCCUGGAAACUACUUUAGAUAAAAAAAAAUCCAGGCGCUUUCAGAGAAGUGUACUUUUUAGAGAAAUUAAGCUACAUCAAUAGUUUUUUGCAAAAAGCAUACAUGAUUGCAGAUUUUCUACUUUCAUUGAAUUUUUUCCCCCUUGAAAGCGAAUUAUGCAUGCGAAAAAAUAUUACUUGGAUUUGUUUAAAAAUGCUGCUUAUAAAAAGUAUAUAAUCUGUAGCAUCAUUUCAACUUGGAUUAAUUCAUCCUGAAUCAAGCCAGAUAUACCUAUCAUUCUUUGAAAAGAAUGAUCGCAAGAUAAUUCUAUUAUACUGUGCGAUUGCCGUGGAAAAUGGAUUGCCAUUGUUUGAAGCCUAACAUGAAUACAACAAUAUGAUUCAUAUCAUAUUCGAUGCAGACAAACAAAGGUUAACAACAUGCUUCUGGAAAACAUCAGAUUUGGCAUACAACAAGCUCGCACCAAUGUCAGGUAAGCGCCAUCAAACCAAUUCCAAGUUGUCAUUCAAAUUUUCAUUGUAGAUCUUUGUAAGCAUCAACGCAUAUCACGUCAGCCUGCGCUCCAAAGAAAGAAUCAAAAACAAACAAUGAGAAGACGGCUGUGAUUCGAUUCUUAUAGCAGCGUGUAUCAUUGGCAUAUACAGUUGGACCGAGUUCAGGUAUCUUCGCGUUAUCUCGGAUGCGGGUCUAGGCUGGGUAUAUCGGUGGAACGCGUCCCGGUAUCGGCGAUCCCGUUGCCGACUGCGCUGGCUAGUUAGAAGAAAGGGAUCCGUGAAAAGGAAGAACGGACUGAAUGACACGGUCACCGAAAAUGACAGGUACACGACUUGGAAGAGCCGUGGACGUGGGACCGAUAUCGCAACCGCAUCUGACACAAACCUUGGUCAGCCAACUCCGUCUCGUCUUCUUUCUCCGUCCUUUUCUUCUUCCUCUCGUUCUCUCUCGUGUCUGCCUGCCAAUAUGCCUACCUGUCAACACACGCUGCAUUCAAUUAACUCGGGGACCAGUUUCACGCCUGUGUAAUGACGCGGAAAUCAAACUUUGCCCACCCCCGUGCCCCUCACCGACCCUCAAGACGGACGCGAUCCUGUAGGACGCCAGGGAACGACGACCUCGAUCUCGUGAGCAGCUCUCGUUCUGACAGCCACGGGAACAUCCUUGAAUCGGGCCCGGUGCGUAUCUAGCGGUUGAAAGGAAGAGAAUUUGAGGAAAAGAGAGUUGGAAAAUUAUUUGAAGAACAGAGAGGAUUUAGUCGGAGGAAAACCCAAUUUACAUUGUGAAAUUUCUAGCAAAAGAAGUUUAGGAUUAUUUGAAGAAGGAAAGAAGAUUAUUUGGAAAAAAAACUAAUCACCACAUGUGAUAAGUAUGUUGCAAAUAUUCUUGCAAAAACUCCUAUUUUUGUGAAUUCAUGACACCUACAAGGAAAUUGUUUUAUCCGCUAGAUAUUGUACCUACGUAACGAGUUUUGUACUGUGGAUAUUCUACAUACGUUUGUAUACUACGUACAUUCUGUACAUUCUUGCACCUUCAAAUUUGCCUUAAAUGCAGAACAAUCGGCAGUCUGGUGAUGGAUCUGUAAACCAAGGUCACUGUAAGGUUACCAAAAUUGUUUCGUCGUUGGUCUUGGCGUUUGUACAUAAGAAUUUCAUAUGAUUAAUAAACUUAAUAGAAUGAGGCAGUGACAAGGCUGAAAUAGAAAAGUAAACAACUCGAGGAAGUCUAAUCUUGCAAUCUAUGCGGCAACCGCGAGCAACACGAAAUCAGCAGAUCAGCGACGAUUACAAGAGGAUAGAGAUAGCGUUAUCUCUUAUCUACAAGCAGUCCGGGAUCUCAGCAUCCGCUAUCUAUCGAUGGAAUUAAGAAAGCUUAACCUGGCUAGAUUAAAUUAAAAUCGGACUUUAUCAGGGCCACUGCGCAUUUCCUCUUAUCUCGACGAUGACCGAUAAUGCGUUUACACCUUAUGAGAAUCCGCGAUCUCUAAUAGGACAUUGGUAUCUUAGACCGAUAGAUCGAUAGAUCGAUAAGCUUGUUGCUUUUAUUUAGAAACUUUUUCAUUUUUACAUUCCCUGUAUAUUGUUUCAUAAUUUGGCAAACUGUUCUGGGUAUAUUAAGUAUAUUUGUGUAAUUAUAAUUAGGUAUAUUAUAUAUUGUAUAUUUAAUUAUUAGACUAUUGUAUUAAGUCGUUCGAAAAGCUUCUUUCGUUUUUUAACUUUAAUUUAAUUUUAUAUUAUUUUAUCGAAUUACGUAUGAUCCAUUUUGCUCUAUCAAAGAUUUAGGUUUCAGAUUAGGUUUCAUGUUUGUAUAAAGACGCGUCGUUGUAAAAGACGUGUCUGUAAAGGAAACACACUUUUCGCACAACCUAAUAUUAUAAUUAUUGAACCGUGCGCGUUUCUGCACUUACAGAAAAUUUAAGUACGUACAUAAUACACAAAAUAUAGAAAAACAUGUUAAAUAUUCAAAAGUAUUCGUUACGAUACUUGGUAGAUGAGACAAAUCUCUGCUUAUAUUCCAUUUUUUGAAAUCAUGUUGAAAAAUUUCCAUAAAACACGGCAAUAAGUUCAAUUAAGCACAUUUGAAGAAAGAAAAUGAAUUUCUAUAAAAUAUGUUGUAUAAAAUAGUUUCUAAUAAUUUCUAUAAGAGUUAAAAGAUUUACCAUCUUUUGUAUACUUUGGAAUAUUUAAAAAAUAAAUUAUGAUCAUCGUCAACACAUCUUUAAAAUAAACAUGAUAGAAAGAAAAAAGACAUUGACACGAAAAAUAGAUUAAAAUGUAAGUACAAACAACGGUACUGAAAAUUGAACAGGAAGAGCGAGUUGCUGUGUUCGAGGCUUGUUUACGGGCGAAUGAAAAUUACACGACGGUACCAGCCACCCCUUGGUUCGACGCGUCCAUUCAUUAACACUUCAUAUCCCGUUGCGACGUGCUGGUAACGAGCCUGUCAUAAUUACCGCGCUAACUUUAUUACUGCGGAUACACGCUCUCCUUGCCCGGGCUAUGAUACUCGUGCGUCAUAGGGCAAAUCGAGCGCGCACCCUUCGUUCCACAAGGAAACACGAGCCCCCCGCGGCUCUGAAUUUAGAACUCUCAACAUAUUAAGCGCUGUUUGUGUUUCCUAUAAAAGUUCAGACAUAUACCACUUUUUGUGUACUUUGGAACAUUUAAAAAAUAAAUCAUAACCAUAUCUUGAUGAUAGCUUUAACACCAG